UAGGGAAUCUUCGGCAAUGGACGAAAGUCUGACCGAGCAACGCCGCGUGAGUGAAGAAGGUUUUCGGAUCGUAAAACUCUGUUGUUAGAGAAGAACAAGGACGUUAGUAACUGAACGUCCCCUGACGGUAUCUAACCAGAAAGCCACGGCUAACUACGUGCCAGCAGCCGCGGUAAUACGUAGGUGGCAAGCGUUGUCCGGAUUUAUUGGGCGUAAAGCGAGCGCAGGCGGUUUCUUAAGUCUGAUGUGAAAGCCCCCGGCUCAACCGGGGGGGGUCAUUGGAAACUGGGAGACUUGAGUGCAGAAGAGGAGAGUGGAAUUCCAUGUGUAGCGGUGAAAUGCGUAGAUAUAUGGAGGAACACCAGUGGCGAAGGCGGCUCUCUGGUCUGUAACUGACGCUGAGGCUCGAAAGCGUGGGGAGCAAACAGG
rnacentral:rRNA from 2 species